rnacentral:tRNA from 2 species
GGGGCGGUGGCGGAACGGGUAGACGCCGGGGACUUAAAAUCCUCUGUCCGCAAGGACGUGCGGGUUCGAAUCCCGCCCGCCCCA